UACGGAGGGUGCGAGCGUUAUCCGGAAUUACUGGGUUUAAAGGGUGCGUAGGCGGCUUGUUAAGUCAGGAGUGAAAGUUUGCGGCUCAACCGUAAAAUUGCUUUCGAUACUGGCAGGCUAGAAUUAGGAUGAGGUUAGCGGAAUGUGGCAUGUAGCGGUGAAAUGCAUAGAUAUGCCAUAGAACACCAAUUGCGAAGGCAGCUGGCUAGACCUAUAUUGACGCUGAGGCACGAAAGCGUGGGGAGCGAACAGG
rnacentral:rRNA from 1 species